CACUAGAACACUCAGGUCUGAUCUAAUUCAAAUCCCUUUAGAUUAUACAGUGGAAGUGACAAAUAAAUUCAAGGGAUUAGAUCUGAUAGAUGCAGUGCUUAAACAACUAUGGACAGAGGUUCAUGACAUUGUACAGGAGGCAGUGAUCAAGACCAUCCCCA